UCACGGGGGCGAGCACACAUGAGUCUCAUGAACGCGCAAGGGAUUACAGGAAAGUUUGAGCACGUCAGUUUUUUUUGUUGUUCGUUGUUUGCUUUAUCGACUGUGUUUUUGUAUCUGUUGUUAUUUUUGUAAGGAGAAAAGUGGUGUGCCUGAAAGUGACCAGCAAGCAAAUAUUGCUCUCAGCAGAUCUAGCUAGAUACUUCUUCAGCUUGUGAAUCUGAAAUCAAUCACCAUGACAUCUAUUCCCAUGACAGCAACAGAGAUGAGUCCUACAACAGCACUUCCCAGUCAUACGGACUCCUCUACCGUCAUUGGAAUGGUCAUCGUGCUUGUACUGCUGACGCUAGCUGGCCUGGGUUUCCUUCUGUACCGGUACUUGUGCCACAACAAGGGUGCCUACAGAACCACAGGAGAACCGGCCCCGGGGGAGGACCGUGAUCUGGCCCACGGUGACAUCGUAACUGAUGAAAAGAAGGAGUAUUUCAUUUGAACUUGAUGACAAGUAGGAAUGUGAGAACUGUGGGUGGGUGUUUAACAAAAUCUUCUCUGCCAAACUGACAGGAAAUAGGAAAAUGACAAUCUUUGAUGGACAUCUACGGUAUAUCUGCGGAAUUGAAAACCUACAUAGAUUUUACCCAAGAAAACACUCACGUAUAGGCACAUAAGCUGGGAAAGAGAUGAGAUUAAUUAGUAAAAGUGUGUGUUCAAGCUGAUGGGUUCACAACUUAAGUUGUGUGCAAGGUAAGAGAACUGUGUUUAACACUGGUGGAUGGAGGACUUAAUGAGCUUCUUGUGGGGAAAUGUCUAAGAUGGCAUCAUAUAAAUAUGCCUUCAUCUGUGUCAUCACAUUUAGUUAUCAAUCUGCUCCCCAUGUGUCAACUCUGAAGGCUUUUACAUUUUCUGUAUUUUCUGAUUGAAGGGUUUAAAAAAUAAAUAUCCUGGGGGCUAAAUGGGGAAAUUGUAUUUGUUGAUCAGUAGAAGGCACUGAUUUAUUUUAUGUCAUUAUACAAUAAUUUACCAGUUGUUCAAAACUGGGCAGCUAAACGGGAAAUGUUAUUUUGUAUCGGUUACUAUUACCAAAUACACCAUCUUGUGUUUGUAUGAUCUUACUGAAGUAUCUUAAGGUAGUAAGUGGCAUGACAGACCUCAAUUUGAGACUGCAGGUCUGACAUGGCAAUAAAGCUUGUUUCUUUUGAAUCA